CAGCAGCCACGGUAAUACAGAGGGUGCAAGCGUUAAUCGGAAUUACUGGGCGUAAAGCGCGCGUAGGUGGUUCGCCAAGUUGGAUGUGAAAUCCCCGGGCUCAACCUGGGAACUGCAUCCAAAACUGGCGAGCUAGAGCAUGGUAGAGGGUGGUGGAAUUUCCUGUGUAGCGGUGAAAUGCGUAGAUAUAGGAAGGAACAUCAGUGGCGAAGGCGACCACCUGGACUGAUACUGACACUGAGGUGCGAAAGCGUGGGGAGCAAACAGGAUUAGAUACCCCGGUAGUCCCUGUCUCUUAUAC
rnacentral:rRNA from 1 species